UACAGAGGCCCCAAGCGUUGUUCGGAUUCACUGGGCGUAAAGGGUGCGUAGGUGGCGAGGUAAGUCGGAUGUGAAAGCUCGGAGCUCAACUCCGAAAUGGCAUUGGAAACUACCUUGCUCGAGGGUUGGAGGGGGGACUGGAAUGCUUGGUGUAGCAGUGAAAUGCGUAGAUAUCAAGCGGAACACCAGUGGCGAAGGCGAGUCCCUGGACAACUCCUGACACUGAUGCACGAAAGCUAGGGGAGCAAACAGG
rnacentral:rRNA from 1 species